AAUGGGGGAUAACGUAGCGAAAGUUACGCUAAUACUGCAUAUGCCCUGAGGGGGAAAGUGGGGGAUCGCAAGACCUCACGUUUUCGGAGCGGCCGAUAUCAGAUUAGCUAGUUGGUGGGGUAAAGGCCUACCAAGGCGACGAUCUGUAGCUGGUCUGAGAGGACGACCAGCCACACUGGGACUGAGACACGGCCCAGACUCCUACGGGAGGCAGCAGUGGGGAAUUUUGGACAAUGGGGGAAACCCUGAUCCAGCCAUGCCGCGUGAGUGAAGAAGGCCUUCGGGUUGUAAAGCUCUUUCGGACAGAAAGAAAUCGCACAGGAUAAUACCUUGUGUGGAUGACGGUACUGUAAGAAGAAGCACCGGCUAACUACGUGCCAGCAGCCGCGGUAAUACGUAGGGUGCGAGCGUUAAUCGGAAUUACUGGGCGUAAAGCGUGCGCAGGCGGUUUAUUAAGACAGACGUGAAAUCCCCGGGCUCAACCUGGGAACUGCGUUUGUGACUGGUAGGCUAGAGUGUAGCAGAGGGGGGUAGAAUUCCA
rnacentral:rRNA from 1 species